rnacentral:rRNA from 1 species
GACGAACGCUGGCGGCGUGCUUAACACAUGCAAGUCGAACGGAAAGGUCCUGCUUUGGUGGGGUGCUCGAGUUGCGAACGGGUGAGUAACCCGUGAGUAACCUGUCCUUGACAUUGAUUUAACCUCAGGACAUUUGGGCUCAUACCGGCAAGGAUUUCUCGCCGCAUGGUGGGGGUUGGAAAGUUUCGGCGGUUGGGGAUGGACUCGCGUCCUAUCAGCUUGUUGGUGGGGUAGUGGCUUACCAAGGCUUUGACGGGUAGCCGGACUGAGCGGGUGACCGGCAACAUUGGGACUGAGAUACGGCCCAGACUCCUACGGGAGGCAGCAGUGGGGAAGAUUGCACAAUGGGCGGAAGCGUGAUGCAGAAACGCCGCGUGCGGGAUGACGGCCUUCGGGUUGUGAUCCGCAUUCGCCUGUGCCGAAGCGUGAGUGAAGGUAAUCGGUAGAGAAGCACCGGCUAACUACGUG